CGAUGACGACGAAGAGAGAGAGUGAGGGGAAUGAGGAGAGAGCGGGAACAGGAAGGCAAGAAGAGCACAGAAGACCAAGAAGAGGAGGGGCGAGCAGUCUCUUUCAUAGUGAGUCAGACACUCCUGGCUGUUGCCAGGUAACUGUGGGGCGGAGCUUAGACAGAAUGCUAACCGGGGUUAGGGGGUGACCUAGAACUGAGAACCCUCCCAUCUUAGCCUCCAGGUGCUGGGAUCACACCCAUGCCAUUACACCCGGCCACCCAUUUGAUUGUUUUCUCUCUCUGAGCCUCAGUUUCCCGAGCGGCGACAGGUGCCCACCCCACAGAACUGUUAGAGAAUCUGUGAGGAUCCAGGGGGGCCAGAUGGGAUUGGUGCCCCGCGAAGUGCCAGAGAAUGCAACAGAACAGUGACUAAGACGAUGGGGGAUCACUGAUGCGUGCCACUUUUGAUAAAUGACAAUCCAAGAACCUCCAGGGAUCCUACAGGCUCUAGACUCCGCAGGAAUGGAGGGAAGAGCAGGCGCAAGAUCCCGGUUCUGACUGGCAGUGAGGACACUGGCCUGUGGGUGGAGGCCCUGGCUACAGCAGCAGAGCAUCUCCAGCUCCUUAAGAAGUCUCCUGCACGACUGAUGUUCAUCUGUUUCUCCACACCAGCCACGGCAUCCUGAAGAGGCCAUGCCUUUCGGACGACACUCGUGUGCUUUUACUUGUUAUCUCUUCUGCCUCCUCUGCUACAACACUCUGCUGAUCUUCAAUACUGUGGUGGUGGUGGCCAGACCCCAAGAUGCUCCCACCAGGACCUAGUGCUGUCGCCAUGAUCUUGUUCACCAAAGCCAUGGAGGACCCAUCUCUGCAAUGUGUGCAAUGUGUGCUGUGCUGGGGGUGACAGUUGAGGCCUACUUGAUGCUCGAUGAGUAGGGGAGUUUGCCACUGAGACUAACGACUUAAAUUUCCUCCCUGAAACCGGCACGAUGAAGAGAGAGAACCAACUGCCAGGGAACUUGUCCUCUGACCUCCACAAGUCACCGUCCCAUGAAAUAAAUUUAAAAAACCAAAAGAUGUCAAAGCACUGGAGAGAUGGCUCGGCAGUUAAGAGCGUGUGCUGUUAUUUCAGAAGACUCCCGUUCCAUUUCCGGGCACCCAUGCUGGGUGAUUCGUUACCUCUUGUACCUCCAGCUCCAGGGAAUCAGGUGCCUGUUUCUGGCCUCUGUGGGCACUUGCUUGCCCGUGGCAGUCAUACCAUCUCGGAUGUACACACAUAACACAUGCAUAACAAUAAUGUAAAAUAACAU